UGUUGCGGUGGCUGUACGCGGGAUACCUUCGGGUAUGCCGGAUUUCCUUUGAUUGCCGGUCGGUCAACCCGCGUACAGCUGCCUCCCUC
rnacentral:antisense_RNA from 2 species